rnacentral:rRNA from 1 species
UGAGCAAUCUGCCCUUCUCUUCGGAAUAAGCGUUGGAACCGACGUCUAAUGCCGAAUACGACCUCCUUUCGCAUGAUCGGAGGUGGAAAGCUCCGGCGGAGAAGGAUGAGCUCGCGGCCUAUCAGCUAGUUGGUGUGGGUAAUGGCCCACCAAGGCGACGACGGGUAGCCGGCCUGAGAGGGUGACCCGGCCACACGUGGGACUGAGACACGGCCCAGACUCCGUACGGGAGNAGCG